ensembl:ncRNA C07H6.18 ncRNA
GGGUCUUGACACGAAAGAUAAAUGGGCUCGCGACAUGCCAUCUCUCUUUUUGCUCCGCCACUGACUAUUCUUGGGGUCGAGCUCUGCUUUCACGUCAACUAUCGAGAGAGAGGGCGCCGCGCGUCGCCUUCUUCCUUAUGC